AGCCCGUGAUGUAGGUAUGCUCUCAUUAGAUCCUUGAAUCACUCUCAUGCUUCGAAGAGAGAUUCUCACCCGUCUGCCUAAAGCAGAUAAUUUGGUUCCUAAGUU